rnacentral:snRNA from 1 species
UACCUUUAUGUUUACGGUUU